UACGGGGGGGGCAAGCGUUGUCCGGAAUUACUGGGCGUAAAGGGCUCGUAGGCGGCCAACUAAGUCAGACGUGAAAUCCCUCGGCUUAACCGGGGAACUGCGUCUGAUACUGGAUGGCUUGAGAUUGGGAGAGGGAUGCGGAAUUCCAGGUGUAGCGGUGAAAUGCGUAGAUAUCAGGAGGAACACCGGUGGCGAAGGCGGGUCUCUGGGCCGAUACUGACGCUGAGGAGCGAAAGCGUGGGGAGCGAACAGG
rnacentral:rRNA from 1 species